GUGAAUCAUCGAAUUUUUGAACGCAAAUUGCACUCUCCUCGGAGAGUAUUUCUGCUUGAGGGUUGGCCUAUAAAAAUCGACAUCGUUGCUGUUUUGCGGUGGCGCUCGUCGGCAAUUGUGUCAUCUUAAAUCAUUUUGGUUUAUGAGACUUAAAUUUUUUUUUUGGUUUCUUGAACGUUUUUAAGAUCUAUUUCUUAUCAAGUUUGAGGUUUGGAUUGCUACUAGUCGU
rnacentral:misc_RNA from 1 species